AUACCAGCUCUCCGAGUGGUGUGGAUGUUUAUUGGGCCUAAAGCAUCCGUAGCUGGCUAAGUUAGUCCCUUGUUAAAUCCACCGAAUUAAUCGUUGGAUUGCGGGGGAUACUGCUUGGCUAGGGGACGAGAGAGGCAGACGGUAUUUCCGGGGUAGGGGUGAAAUCCUAUAAUCCUGGGAAGACCACCUGUGGCGAAGGCUGUCUGCUAGAACGCGCCCGACGGUGAGGGAUGAAAGCUGGGGGAGCGAACCGGAUUAGAUACCCGGGUAGUCCCAGCUGUAAACGAUGCAGGCUAGGUGUUUGGACGGCCACGUGCCGUUCUAGUGCCGCAGGGAAGCUGUUAAGCCUGCCGCCUGGGGAGUACGAUCGCAAGAUUGAA
rnacentral:rRNA from 1 species